rnacentral:rRNA from 1 species
AGUGAACGCUGGCGGUAGGCCUAACACAUGCAAGUCGAACGGCAGCACAGUAAGAGCUUGCUCUUACGGGUGGCGAGUGGCGGACGGGUGAGGAAUACAUCGGAAUCUACUUUUUCGUGGGGGAUAACGUAGGGAAACUUACGCUAAUACCGCAUGCGACCUACGGGUGAAAGCAGGGGAUCUUCGGACCUUGCGCGAUUGAAUGAGCCGAUGUCGGAUUAGCUAGUUGGCGGGGUAAAGGCCCACCAAGGCGACGAUCCGUAGCUGGUCUGAGAGGGUGAUCAGCCACACUGGAACUGAGACACGGUCCAGACUCCUACGGGAGGCAGCAGUGGGGAAUAUUGGACAAUGGGCGCAAGCCUGAUCCAGCCAUACCGCGUGGGUGAAGAAGGCCUUCGGGUUGUAAAGCCCUUUUGUUGGGAAAGAAAAGCAGCAGGUUAAUACCCCGCUGUUCUGACGGUACCCAAAGAAUAAGCACCGGCUAACCUCGUG